UACGUAGGGGGCAAGCGGUUGUCCGGAUUUAUUGGGCGUAAAGAGCGUGUAGGCGGCCAGUAGGUCCGCUGUGAAAACUCGAGGCUCAACCUCGAGAUGUCGGCGGAAACCAUCUGGCUAGAGUCCGGAAGAGGAGAGUGGAAUUCCUGGUGUAGCGGUGAAAUGACGCAGAUAUCAGGAGGAACACCGAUGGCGAAGGCAGCUCGCUGGGACGAUACUGACGCUGAGGCGACGAAGCGUGGGGAGCAAACAGG
rnacentral:rRNA from 1 species